rnacentral:pre_miRNA from 1 species
CGAAGCAUGAUGGAGAAGCAGGGCACGUGCAUCCGUAACUCCAUGGUCACGUGCACAGUUCCCAUCAAUCCAUCCGCACAACGAUGAGUUAAGUUUUUCAUGUGCCCAUCUUCGCCAUCAUGACCCG